rnacentral:tRNA from 1 species
AUGGAUAUAGCCCAGCGGCACAGUAUCUGCCUGACAAGCACAAGGUCCUGAGUUCGAUUCCCAGUACCAAAA